CCCAAAUUUUCUAAAUACUUUCAUUAGUCUCUUAUUUCUAGGAUAGCUUUAUGCCUAGCCCAUACAUGCUUAAAGUUUCUCACUCUGUUAAGCUCUACCACGUCCGCUGGAAGGCUAUUCCAUGCAUCCACUACUCUCUCAGUAAAGUAAUACUUUCUGAUAUUAUUUUUAAACCUUUGUCCCUCUAAUUUAAAACUAUGUCCUCUUGUUAUGGUAGUUUUCCUUCUUUUAAAUAUAC